rnacentral:rRNA from 1 species
AUUGAACGCUGGCGGCAGGCCUAACACAUGCAAGUCGAGCGGAUGAAGGGAGCUUGCUCCUGGAUUCAGCGGCGGACGGGUGAGUAAUGCCUAGGAAUCUGCCUUGUAGUGGGGGAUAACGUCCGGACACGGGCGCUAAUACCGCAUACGUUCUGAGGGAGAAAGUGGGGGAUCUUCGGACCUCACGCUAUCAGAUGAGCCUAGGUCGGAUUAGCUAGUUGGUGGGGUAAAGGCCUACCAAGGCGACGAUCCGUAACUGGUCUGAGAGGAUGAUCAGUCACACUGGAACUGAGACACGGUCCAGACUCCUACGGGAGGCAGCAGUGGGGAAUAUUGGACAAUGGGCGAAAGCCUGAUCCAGCCAUGCCGCGUGUGUGAAGAAGGUCUUCGGAUUGUAAAGCACUUUAAGUUGGGAGGAAGGGCAGUAAGUUAAUACCUUGCUGUUUUGACGUUACCAACAGAAUAAGCUCCGGCUAACUUCGUG